CGUGUAUGAUGACAUUUUAUUAAUGCUGUAAACUCCCGAGUGCGCAGUGGGGGCUUCAACCUUGGAGAGCUGAGCGUGCG